rnacentral:rRNA from 1 species
GACGAACGCUGGCGGCGUGCCUAAUACAUGCAAGUCGAGCGGAUGGAAGGAAGCUUGCUUCCUAAAGUCAGCGGCGGACGGGUGAGUAACACGUGGGCAACCUGCCCCUAAGAUCGGGAUAACUUCGGGAAACCGGAGCUAAUACCGGAUAUGAUUAUGUCUCACAUGAGGCAUAAUGGAAAGACGGUUUCGGCUGUCACUUAGGGAUGGGCCCGCGGCGCAUUAGCUAGUUGGUGAGGUAACGGCUCACCAAGGCGACGAUGCGUAGCCGACCUGAGAGGGUGAUCGGCCACACUGGGACUGAGACACGGCCCAGACUCCUACGGGAGGCAGCAGUAGGGAAUCUUCCGCAAUGGACGAAAGUCUGACGGAGCAACGCCGCGUGAGUGAAGAAGGUUUUCGGAUCGUAAAACUCUGUUGUUAGGGAAGAACAAGUACCAUAGUAACUGAUGGUACCUUGACGGUACCUAACCAGAAAGCCACGGCUAACUACGUGCCAGCAGCCGCCGUAAUAC